AUCCAGUUGAAGAGUCCCAAAUAGGAUGAAACGCGCAUCCUGGAU
rnacentral:hammerhead_ribozyme from 1 species